rnacentral:rRNA from 1 species
UACGUAGGGUGCUAGCGUUGUUCGGAAUCAUUGGGCGUAAAGCGCGUGUAGGUGGUUAGGUAAGUCGAAUGUGAAAUCCCUCGGCUCAACCGAGGAAGUGCAUCCGAAACUCCCUAGCUAGAGGACGGUAGAGGAAGGUGGAAUUCCAAGUGUAGAGGUGAAAUUCGUAGAUAUUUGGAGGAAUACCGGUGGCGAAGGCGGCCUUCUGGGCCGUUCCUGACACUGAGACGCGAAAGCGUGGGUAGCAAACAGG